rnacentral:rRNA from 1 species
GUGGGGAAUAUUGCACAAUGGGCGAAAGCCUGAUGCAGCGACGCCGCGUGAGGGAUGACGGCCUUCGGGUUGUAAACCUCUUUCAGCAGGGACGAAGCGUGAGUGACGGUACCUGCAGAAGAAGCGCCGGCCAACUACGUGCCAGCAGCCGCGGUAAGACGUAGGGCGCGAGCGUUGUCCGGAUUUAUUGGGCGUAAAGAGCUCGUAGGCGGCUCGUUGCGUCAAUCGUGAAAACUCAGGGCUUAACUCUGAGCUUGCGGUUGAUACGGGCGGGCUAGAGUUCGGUAGGGGAGUCUGGAAUUCCUGGUGUAGCGGUGAAAUGCGCAGAUAUCAGGAGGAACACCGAUGGCGAAGGCAGGACUCUGGGCCGAUACUGACGCUGAGGAGCGAAAGCGUGGGGAGCGAACAGG